UAAAUAGUUUCUCCGUUCGGAAUUACUCGUCUAAAAAAUGAAUGUAUCUAGAUGUAUUUUAGUUGUAGAUACAUUCAUUUUUAUCAUUUUUAUGACAAGUAAUUUCAAACGGAGGAAGUAAGCU
rfam:Triticum aestivum genome assembly, contig: Triticum_aestivum_CS42_TGACv1_scaffold_323543_4BL